rnacentral:rRNA from 1 species
AGAUUGAACGCUGGCGGCAUGCCUAACACAUGCAAGUCGAACGGGAGUAGCAAUACUCUAGUGGCGGACGGGUGAGGAAUACGUAGGAAUUUGCCCUUAAGUGGGGGAUAACCCGGGGAAACCCGGAUUAAUACCGCAUGACCUCGAAAGAGCAAAGUGGGGGAUCGCAAGACCUCACGCUUUUGGAGAAGCCUACGUCGGAUUAGCUAGUUGGUGAGGUAAUGGCUCACCAAGGCGACGAUCCGUAACUGGUCUGAGAGGAUGAUCAGUCACACCGGAACUGAGACACGGUCCGACUCCUACGGGAGGCAGCAGUGGGAAUAUGGACAAUGGCGCAAGCUGAUCCAGCAAUGCCGCGUGUGUGAAGAAGCCGUUACGGUUGUAAAGUCAACUUUAAGUUAGGGUAAAGAAAAACUAACGACGUACUAACCAACACGU